rnacentral:rRNA from 1 species
CGGACGGGUGAGUAACGCGUGAGAAUCUGCCCUCAGGAGGGGGACAACAGCUGGAAACGGCUGCUAAUACCCCAUAUGCCGAAAGGUGAAACGAUUUUUCGCCUGAGGAUGAGCUCGCGUCUGAUUAGCUGGUUGGUGGGGUAACGGCCUACCAAGGCGUCGAUCAGUAGCUGGUCUGAGAGGACGAUCAGCCACACUGGGACUGAGACACGGCCCAGACUCCUACGGGAGGCAGCAGUAGGGAAUUUUCCGCAAUGGGCGCAAGCCUGACGGAGCAACGCCGCGUGAGGGAUGGAGGCCUUUGGGCUGUAAACCUCUUUUCUCAAGGAAGAAGAUCUGACGGUACUUGAGGAAUAAGCCACGGCUAAUUCCGUGCCAGCAGCCGCGGUAAUACGGGAGUGGCAAGCGUUAUCCGGAAUUAUUGGGCGUAAAGCGUCCGCAGGCGGCCGUUUAAGUCUGUUGUUAAAUCGUGGAGCUCAACUCCAUCACGGCAAUGGAAACUGUUCGGCUUGAGUAUGGUAGGGGCAGAGGGAAUUUCCGGUGUAGCGGUGAAAUGCGUAGAUAUCGGGAAGAACACCAGUGGCAAAAGCGCUCUGCUGGGCUAUUACUGACGCUCAUGGACGAAAGCCAGGGGAGCGAAAGGGAUUAGAUACCCCAGUAGUC